AACGAACGCUGGCGGCAUGCCUAACACAUGCAAGUCGAACGAAGCCUUCGGGCUUAGUGGCGCACGGGUGCGUAACACGUGGGAAUCUGCCCUUCGGUUCGGAAUAACAGUUAGAAAUGACUGCUAAUACCGGAUGAUGACGUAAGUCCAAAGAUUUAUCGCCGAAGGAUGAGCCCGCGUAGGACUAGGUAGUUGGUAGGGUAAUGGCCUACCAAGCCGACGAUCCUUAGCUGGUCUGAGAGGAUGAUCAGCCACACUGGGACUGAGACACGGCCCAGACUCCUACGGGAGGCAGCAGUGGGGAAUAUUGGACAAUGGGCGAAAGCCUGAUCCAGCAAUGCCGCGUGAGUGAUGAAGGCCUUAGGGUUAUAAAGCUCUUUUACCUAGGGAUGAUAAUGACAGUACCUGGAGAAUAAGCUCCGGCUAACUCCGUGCCAGCAGCCGCGGUAAU
rnacentral:rRNA from 1 species